UUUCUCCGCCGGCGACCGGCGCACGGGUGAGUAACACGUAUGCAACCUGCCCCUGUCAGGGGGACAACCCGCCGAAAGGCGGGCUAAACCCGCGUACAUGCCACCGGGGCAUCCCGGAGGCAGGAAAGGCUUCGGCCGGACAGGGAUGGGCAUGCGGCGCAUUAGGCAGUAGGCGGGUAACGGCCCACCUAACCGACGAUGCGUAGGGGUUCUGAGAGGAAGGUCCCCCACACUGGUACUGAGACACGGACCAGACUCCUACGGAAGGCAGCAG
rnacentral:rRNA from 1 species